UUACGUUCAUCCUAUCUUGGACGCAUGAAAUGGAAAUAGGGAACGGGAUUUCCAU
ncrna:unclassified sequences Glutamine-II riboswitch (downstream peptide RNA)